rnacentral:rRNA from 1 species
CAGUCGCCGCGGUAAUACGUAGGGUGCAAGCGUUAAUCGGAAUUACUGGGCGUAAAGCGUGCGCAGGCGGUUAUAUAAGACAGAUGUGAAAUCCCCGGGCUUAACCUGGGAACUGCAUUUGUGACUGUAUAGCUAGAGUACGGCAGAGGGGGAUGGAAUUCCGCGUGUAGCAGUGAAAUGCGUAGAUAUGCGGAGGAACACCGAUGGCGAAGGCAAUCCCCUGGGCCUGUACUGACGCUCAUGCACGAAAGCGUGGGGAGCAAACAGGAUUAGAUACCCCCGUAGUCCCUGUCUCUUAUAC